AAGUCCUUCACUUCUCCUUAUCCUUCUCCAGAGCAAAGAACAGAACGGCGCCUAAAGCCUAAAAAGAAAAAAAAAACUUCCCUUCUUGCAGCUUAAGUCGUUGGCUUUCCACCGGCCCCCCGCGACCUCUCACUCCUUCCGGCGUCUCUCCGGUUACAAAACUUUCCCGUGUUUUCUCGGCAACCAAACAAGAAACUGGUUGAUGCUAAUAUGGCGCCAAAGCGGACCACACCGGCCUCCUCUCCCCCUCUGACACAACGUCAUCGAUAUGGGGAGCCGUCGGUAACAGAGUCAGAGAGAAACUCAGAAUGAAUAAGUGGCACUCCACCCCAGGCGGCCUAUGAGAACAUCCUGCCACUUCUAGCACUACCAUGCUAAACACUCGAAGCUGGUUGGAAACACCGCAAUCACAGACCUCAGAACCAUCAGAUUGCGAUGUUCCCCGACCUAAAAUCAAAUUACCUUGGCACCGCAUGAACUUUAAAUGUAAAAUAACGACAAAGUGCCCCUUGGCCCACACUGUAAAUGUUAUUAGGGGUAAAUGUUAUUAGGGAAGCCUUAAACGAUCAUUCUUAUGGGAUGCAAUGGUUUAUGGAGUCUUAAUUCGGCCAUCUUUUUUCUGUUCCCGAGCACCUUGACAUGAGUUUAAUGGCAUUGUGAAUGUUGAAAUGCCGUGAGGUCGUGACGGGAAAGGAAAAAGAAAUUUGGUUUUUUUCAUCUGCA